UAUAGGUAUAUAAAUCUGGCUCGAGUGGAAGUGAGCCAGAACCCCCAUCAUCACUACUGCUUCGGUAUGGUUCCGGUUUGAUUUGUAGUACGGUUUGCUUUGGUUUGGUUCAUUUCAAUUCGGUAUGGUUUGUUUCAAUUUAUGGUACGGUUUGCUUCGGUUUGGCUCGUUUCGAUUUGGUAUUGUUCGCUUUGGCUCUUUUCACGUCGCUUUUGAGAUUGGUUGAUCAGGUCAAUGCUCAAAAUUUGUUGUGAUACAAAUAACUCAGAUGAUCAGGCUGAUGCCAUUUGUUCCCAACUGGUGAAACUGGUGACCCAAAGUGAAAAGACUGGACACAAGUAAAGAUCACAAGAUACAGCUAAUAGCUGUUUAGUGAUUUGCUCUGUUUAUUCAGGAGAUGUUGUAUUUUGCACAAGAAUAUUUUCAUUUGGCAUCUUCAGGUAUGUAUGGGGAGUUGAUCCUGGUAUGGUCGACUAGGUCUAUGGUAUGUGGUAGAAAAAUGUGUUGAUGUUUCCCAAGUCUUUAUGUGGAAAAAUAACCCUUUUGGAUUUAUAAAUUGGUAGUUCAGCCAGUUCAUACGGAUGAUAUUCUUGAGGCUUUUCUCCAUAGAACCACUGUGAGAAAUCCUUCCAGCUGUCAUCAAGGUAGCGCUGUAUGAGGUGGGGAGGAACACUUUCAAAAUAGUGUGUGAGGCAAUCAUGGUUAUCCUUGUUGUGGGUAUAUGAGACCUUGACAUUGCAGUCCCCUGGAAUAAUUUCAAUGCAUAACUCUCUUUAUUGAAUAAUCUACUUCUACUUCUCGCAGGUGUUUUGGAAUAAAUGGAUAUGGUUUGACAUCUAAUUCUAUGCAUGGUUUGGUGUUGUUUUGCUCGACAUUCCCUGACAGAACAUUGACUGAUGUAUUGUCUUGUGCUGAUUCCUUUUGGUCAAAAAACUUAUGAUUCUUCAGUGGACGUUUUUGUUGAUUUCCUGACAUUCUUCUUUUAAGGUGAAAUUCUCUCCGAAUGGAGUCUGGAAUACUGCUGCCAUACUCCCUCUUUCUGGAUCCUUCCAUUUCACUCUGUAGUAGAUUUUGCUAUUUGCUCUCUUGGAACUUACAAUUGAGUGGAUGUCCUCUGGAUUGAAAACCUGAGGGAUAUCUUUGGUUUGAUUACCUGAUGUUGGACUCUGACUUGGAGGUUGUACCUGGCUGUUGUCAAGUUGUUUUGCUGUUGUAUUUGGAGCAAGGUUUUUCUUCUUUGUUGGGGUCUUUUGCUUUAAAUUCUUGUUGCUGGAAGUGCCUGCCUUAGUUUUUGAAUUGUCCUUGUUACCUUUCUGUCCUGGAGGUGAUUGAUCAGUGGCUUGGUAAGUUGAACUUGUUGAUGGGGAAUUGUUGCUGUCAAGCUGAGUAUCAUUGACUGGUUCCUCAUUGUCAUCCAUGACUCCUGAAUCUAUGUUACUGGUGUCAUUGAGGUAUGGUUCUGGAGGACUGUGGACGAUCAGCAAGUCUAAUGGUGUUGUGCAUCCUUUCUUUCCCGUGGUGGCAACUGCCAAACUCUGAGUCAUGGUAGAAUUGCAGGACUUGAUUCCUGAGGGUUCUUGGGACUGCCAGCUGUUUAAUGAACUUGUCAGCAUGGCCUUUCUGUCUUUGUGGAAUGAAUCUGUAUAGGAUGCCUUCAUCAAUUUCAAAAGUAUUGGCUUCAAUAAGAAUCUUUUGACGAUCCUUUUCUUCUUGUGGAGGACAUCAUCCUCUUUGUAGUAAAAGAUUUGGAUGAAACCUGGACAAAUCCUUUGUCGAUGACGUAAGUUUGGAUGUUCUUUUAUACUUACCUCAACCAUCAGUAUUUGUAGAUUGUAAUGCUGCAACAACAUUAACUGGUACAGACUGAUAAUCCUCUUCAUAUUCAAAGGUGACUGACCAAUGUGUUGUCUGUGUGUCUGAUUCAAAGUGAUUGACAAUAGGUGUGCAAAUAUCCUCAUCUGAGUUGUCUGUGUGACCUGUGUUGAUGAAUGUGUGUUUGGCAAGAUUGUGGUAUUGCUAGUUAAUUUGCUUUGCUGAGUUGAAGUUACUGAGAUGACUGUUUUCUCAGCAUCUUCUUCAGUUUGGUCACUACAGUUAAUAUUUUCCUCAUAUUCCCUACGUGAGAGAGCAUCGGCAUUCGCAUUGGCUUUGCCCCUGCGGUGAACAAUGUCAAAAUUGUAGGUAGAAAGUUCCAAAGACCAUCGCCCUAACCUACCUGUGGCAUCCUUGAUGGAUUUCAGCCAUUUCAAUGCUAUAUGAUCAGUGUAGACUGUGAAUUUGGAAUUUGCAAGGUAUGGACGAAAUGAUCUAAUUGCUUCAACUAGAGCUAAGCCUUCCUUUUCUGUAAUGCUCCAGUUCUUUUCGCUGCCAUGAAGAGCUCUAACACCAAAAGCUAUUGGAUGUUCUUUAUUUUUCUCAUCUUUUUGACUCAAAACAAAACCUAUGCUCAUAUCACUGGCAUCAGUUGCGAGAAGAGAUUCUUUGUUAAAAUUUGGAUAAGCCAGAACAGGUGUAUUACUCAUAGCAUAUUUGAGUGUGUUGAAUGCCUGAUCACACUCAAGUGACCAUUGGAACUUUGGUUUCUUUCCUCCUCCUGCCUCAAAGCAAAGCAUUCAGUGGAAGCGCUAUGUGAGCGUAAUUUUUCACAUACUUCCUGUAGAAGUUUGUGAGGCCUAAGAAGGAACAAAUCUGCUUUUGUGAUUUGGGCACUGGAAAGGUUCUAAUUGCUUCAAUCUUUUUGUCAUCAACUUGAACACCUCCACAUGAUAAAACAUGACCCAGAAAAGAAACUUUGUCUGUUGCAAAAUUGCAUUUGGAUGGCUUUAGUGUUAAUUUUGCCUGUUUCAGAUAGUAAAAUACUUGCUCCAAAUGCUGGAGAUGCUCUUCAAAGAUUUUAUGGCUGGAGAUGCUCUUCAAAGAUUUUACUGUAAAUUAUCAAAUCCUCAAUGUAAAUCUGCGCAACCUUAAAACGCAACUUUCUUAUUACUUUGCUCAUGAGCUGCUGAAAACAAAGCGGAGAAUUUGUCAAACCUUGGGGCAAACGUUUAAACUGAUAAAGUCCUUGAUGGGUGACAAAAGCAGUUUUAUGCUUUGAAUCUUCAUGUGGCACUUGGAAGAAGCCAUUAACCCUUUCGCCCCGACUGCCCGAUUUAUCGGGCCGCAUAAACCGUGUCCCAGGACCCGGCUGCCCGAAAAAUCGGGCGGCUAUUGUCCAAGCCCCACACACGGCUGCCCGAUAAAUCGGGCGGCGCGACCGUGUUUACAAAAUCGCUCUUUCAACUUCCUUUCUCGUGUGUAAUCUUGUUCUAAAUAUGGAAACGAGAUCUACACGUGAUUGACACGUCAUUCGAUGGAAUUUCCCAGUCUUUUUGGCGUGAAAAUCGCGAAUGUCACCUGUUUUUGCGACAGGUAUUUUUCUCGCUUGAAUCGUAAAUCUAGCGUAAUGGCGUCCAACUACGAUUCGGAUAGCGAUCAGAUGACUAACAACGACUCUAUCGGGAAUAAUAAUGUGUUUGAUUUGAAUAAUUUACGUGAAGGGGAGAGGGAAUUCCGUGAAGAUUUUGGUGAAGAUUUUGACGGUUUCGACGAGGUGUCCCCCCCCCCCCCCCGCCAAGAAUGGGAGUGGCAGAGGGACCACAACGGUGGAGACAUGAGGGAUUUUGAAGAGGCGACCGGACUCAAGAAUAUAUAUUGACACGGUGAGUGAAAUAUCGUGCUAUUGAUUUUUUCCAACUGUUUUACAAUGAUUCUGUGUUUGAACAGAUUAUCAGUGCGACGAAUGAGAAUGCAGCCUACAGGUGAACGAGCGAUCACAACAACAACAAAGAUCAAUCUGUGAUAUCUUCUCUGUGAUGUCAUUCUUAUAGUAGCUGUGGUUCAAUGUUCAGAUGUGCAUGGAGAGAAUUUACCUGUAACACCUGGGAUUACCUGUGCCGUCC